AUACGGAGGGUGCAAGCGUUAAUCGGAAUUACUGGGCGUAAAGCGUACGUAGGCGGUUUGUUAAGUUAGAUGUGAAAGCCCCGGGCUUAACCUGGGAACUGCAUUUAAAACUGGCAGACUAGAGUUGGGUAGAGGGAAGUGGAAUUUCAGGUGUAGCGGUGAAAUGCGUAGAGAUCUGAAGGAACACCAGUGGCGAAGGCGACUUCCUGGACUCAAACUGACGCUGAGGUACGAAAGCGUGGGUAGCAAACGGGAUUAGAAACCCUAGUAGUCC
rnacentral:rRNA from 1 species